AAGAACCUCCCCAAACGGGCCCCCCUAAAUGUUCUCUAGCCAUUCUUUAAAACUGAGCUAAAGAUCGACAACUCCAUAAAAUAUUCUUAUAUAAAUUUAUGGGUGUGAACUUUUGUAAUUGUCAAAUAAUCUUAUGGUAAAAAUUUUAGCAUAUUACAAGAGAUUUUUUUUUUUUAAAUUAGGAGUAUUAAUGAAAGCUUUUUCAAUAUUUGAUUAGUGAUUCUAUCACUAUCAAAAAAAUGUUUUUGACUUUUCCACUAACAUUGGUUUGUGACAGCUGCUCAAUUUGCUGGAGGUUGAGCUGGUGACAGUUAGACAGCAUUCAUUUGAGCAUUUACUAGCAACCUACACACGUGUGGAAAUUAUUUUUUUUUUAUAACUUAGGCUAUUUGGUAAUGCUUAAAAACCAAAUUUUUUUUAAGUUUGCUAUUAAAAGAC
rnacentral:lncRNA from 1 species